rnacentral:rRNA from 1 species
UGGGGAAUAUUGCACAAUGGGCGCAAGCCUGAUGCAGCCAUGCCGCGUGUAUGAAGAAGGCCUUCGGGUUGUAAAGUACUUUCAGUCGGGAGGAAGGUGGUAAGGUUAAUAACCUUAUCAAUUGACGUUACCGACAGAAGAAGCACCGGCUAACUCCGUGCCAGCAGCCGCGGUAAUACGGAGGGUGCAAGCGUUAAUCGGAAUUACUGGGCGUAAAGCGCACGCAGGCGGUUUGUUAAGUCAGAUGUGAAAUCCCCGGGCUCAACCUGGGAACUGCAUCUGAUACUGGCAAGCUUGAGUCUCGUAGAGGGGGGUAGAAUUCUAGGUGUAGCGGUGAAAUGCGUAGAGAUCUGGAGGAAUACCGGUGGCGAAGGCGGCCCCCUGGACAAAGACUGACGCUCAGGUGCGAAAGCGUGGGGAGCAAACAGG